rnacentral:rRNA from 1 species
CCUACGGGAGGCUGCAGUGGGGAAUAUUGCACAAUGGGCGCAACCCUGAUGCAGCGACGCAGCGUGAGUGAUGAAGUCUUUCGGUAUGUAAAGCUCUAUCUGCAGGGAAGAAAAUGACGGUACCUGACUAAGAAGCCCCGGCUAACUACGUGCAAGCAGCCGCGGUAAUACGUAGGGGGCAAGCGUUAUCCGGAUUUACUGGGUGUAAAGGGAGCGUAGACGGUAGCGCAAGUCUGGAGUGAAAUCCCGUGGCUUAACCGUGGAACUGCUGUGGAAACUGUGCAGCUGGAGUGCAGGAGAGGUAGGCGGAAGUCCUAGUGUAGCGGUGAAAUGCGUAGAUAUUAGGAGGAACACCAGUGGCGAAGGCGGCUGACUGGACUGUAACUGACGUUGAGGCUCGAAAGCGUGGGGAGCAAACAGGAUUAGAUACCCGAGUAGUC